GCCUCUUUCGCCCGUCCACUGCUCCACCCCAGCUAGAGAAGAACUUGAUACAACCUUGGGAUCUACAUGCCAGCCUGAUCCGAAGGACGUGACGGUCCACUCAUCUGAAUUAACAGAGGGAUCAGAGACUGAAGAUGACGAAUAUGAGAAGGAACAUGAGGGACAUCAUUCUAAAUCCCAUGUGCAUCGAACGCUAAAUCCAGAGGAACGUCUCUUCCUGGUGGUGGAGUCAAGUCUGCGAGAGCUCCUGUCACAGUGUCCUUGUGGCAGCAGCGAUGCUGAAACAGACAUCACAACAAGGGGCACAUGGCUGAGAGCAGCAACAGCUUGCAGCUGUGGGAA